AUUGAACGCUGGCGGCAUGCCUUACACAUGCAAGUCGAACGGUAACAGGUCUUCGGAUGCUGACGAGUGGCGAACGGGUGAGUAUUACAUCGGAACGUGCCUAGUAGUGGGGGAUAACUACUCGAAAGAGUGGCUAAUACCGCAUGAGAUCUACGGAUGAAAGCAGGGGAUCGCAAGACCUUGUGCUACUAGAGCGGCCGAUGGCAGAUUAGGUAGUUGGUGGGAUAAAAGCUUACCAAGCCGACGAUCUGUAGCUGGUCUGAGAGGACGAUCAGCCGCAAUGGGACUGAGACACGGCCCAGACUCCUACGGGAGGCAGCAGUGGGGAAUUUUGGACAAUGGGCGCAAGCCUGAUCCAGCAAUGCCGCGUGCAGGAUGAAGGCCUUCGGGUUGUAAACUGCUUUUGUACGGAACGAAAAGCCCCGGGUUAAUACCCUGGGGUCAUGACGGUACCGUAAGAAUAAGCACCGGCUAACUACGUGCCAGCCGCCGCAGUAA
rnacentral:rRNA from 1 species